rnacentral:misc_RNA from 1 species
GAAUUCUUAUCCUGUUCUGGAAGAGACAACAACGUGACAUAUUCUUUUAUCGUUCUACGAGUCUUCGUUCGCCAUCCUCCGAUGUAAUGACGAGGCUGAUUUGCAUAUGGGGACACAUAUUUGCGGAUGAUGGACAAUAGUCGAUAUGGUCUUAAGAUCGUAUCUCUAUGGGCGUCGAGGCAAUGAUCUGAAGUUGUUGCUGACCUCGACGAAGGCAUCAUCGAGGAUGGCGCAACGAAACGAUGCGGAAGAGGGAGGCCAUAAAAGCGGGGCAAUAAGAAAAAUCCGCAUACCGAUCCGCGGCAACGAAGGGGAAUUUUUC